CCGUGAGCCGCCACUACUACCGCCACUACUGCCGCCACUACUGCCGCCACUACUGCGGCGGCGGCGGCAAGUUUCACUGGCACCCACGAGGGCGCCUAGGUCCGGAGACUUGCGAUUGGUGGCUGCUGCAAUGAUGGCGCGGUUCGCUGUGUAUUGACGCGUCGUUGCCGUUAGGGUUGGUUGCUUGGUUGAUUUUUUAAGAUUAGGUGCAGCAGGACGAGCAGCAGCAGGACGAGCAGCUGCAGCGGCAGCAAGAGCUGCCGUCGCAGCAGGAGCGACCGGGGGGGGAGUAGCGGCAGCCGCAUGAUCGUACACUGUUCGUACACGGUCCGGGAAGCGCUUCUAGGUAGGGGCUGCGGUGCUUCGAGAGGAGACGAACGGAGGAGGAAGGUGACGGAAAGAGCGGCAGGAGCACCAGCAGUAGUAUUAGUAGCAGUAGCAGCAACAGUAGCAGCAGUAGCAGCAGUAUUAGUAGCGGCAGUAGUAUUAGUAGCAGCCGUAGCAGUAGUAUUAGUAGCAGCAGCAGUAGCAGUAGUAGCAGCAGCAGUAGCAGUAGCAGCAGCAGUAGCAGCAGCAUAUAACAAGCAGAUACGCAGCAUCAAGGUCUUACUCCACCACCGGUGGCAUUGCGGACGACCAACCCACAACUCCUGCCUGCCUGCUAGCCGUCAUUACCCGCUCCCCCCUACCCCCCUACCUCUACCCUAUACCUUCCCCCUGGUCACGACCUCCCACCAGUGGGUGGGUGGGGUAGCGGAGGACGUCGCUCCCCGGGGGGCAUCAGCGGUUCGCAAAUGAAUGGCCCGGGAAUGGCAGCUUCUCUAACGCCAACUAGUCACCUACCUACCUACCUACCUACCUACCUACCUACCUACCUACCUACCUAGUUAAUUCUCUACAGGUCUUUCCUGUCCCC
rnacentral:lncRNA from 1 species